rnacentral:tRNA from 1 species
GCCCAGGUGGAGGAAUUGAUAGCCCCACUAGUUUCAGGUACUAGCGGGUAACUCCGUGGGGGUUCGAAUCCCUUCCUGAGCACCA